GCGCCUUUGAGUACCUGGCUUCGAACCAGGUGGUCGGGAGUUCGAAUCUCUCCGGGCGCAGCA
rnacentral:tRNA from 1 species